rnacentral:sRNA from 1 species
GGUUUACCUUACCUGCACAGAAUGAGGUUGGUUCUUGUAGUACUAGUUCUAUUUGGAACAGUAACAUCCCUCUUGGCCACAUUUGCUACAAAAAAUCUACUCUACACUCCAUCCAGCUAUGUCCCAACGCUCCACAGUCUAGUAUUUAUAUCUAGAUGUAACGACUAUUGCAUCUACUUCCACUUCCUCUGAAAAUUCUUCAUUUUGUUGCCAAUUAAUCUCAUGUACCCGCUGGGGCAUGGCAUAACUCUGCUGCCUAUGGAUCGGAAAUAAGCUCUCUGGAAUAUGCGCCGAAAAUAUCAUUUGGGCAAGGGCUGGCUCAAGAUUUUCUAUCAUGGUUUCAAACAUCUCUUUCUAUUUAUAAUUCGUCUCUGGCUGGGUACGAGUUUAAGAACGGCAUUAUAGUACUCAUCAAAGGUAUUUUCCGGUAACUGUCGCCGGUUAAGGAUCUGCAUUUGAAUUUGAAACUCGUUUUCAAAUCUGUGUUAUUGGAUCAAGAGUACCAAUAUAAUGAUAGUUGGCUUAACAGCUUGUGAAAAUUGGUUACAAACUCCCCCUCGGGACAAUUAUAGUCUCUCAUAAGCUCUCCUACACGGAAAAUGAAUUUCCGGCCAUUCAUAGUCUUGCCGUACCGUCAAUAUGCACUCCCCACUUCUCCAGAUUGAACCGUCCCGAAGGCUCUGAACGGAAAUUUCCUGGCUACCGAAGAUUAUAGUUGUUCGGUAAACUUUCUGAAGACUCCAUACUCCGUGCCGAAGGCAAUGCGAAAUUUGGCGGAGGUACUGCAAGAUUUGGUGGUGGCUGGUUAAAUGUAGUUAUUGGUUGUUGUGGGUUUGCCUUCGGAACUGGAGGAUAACCAAAAUUCGAUUGUUGUGUCAAUGGUGGUGGAUGUCCCAUGGUUACAUGCGAUUGUUCGCCUGAUGCCAACGCUGCUGAAUUGACGAUGGCUGACUCCAACGAGAAGUGGUCCUGUGCAUGUGUCGCUGCUGGCACCGUCAAGUGGGAUGGUGGAAAUAAAUUGUUUCCUGGAUCGUUACCCACCAAACAAAGAAGAAGACAAAGAACGCCUGUUGGCUUCGGCAAUACGUGGUAUAAAGCUCUCAACCUCUCUUCUUCUUUCUGACGGUUGUGACAAGGCGAUGACCGAGUUAAUGAUCUCUUUGACACUUGCAAUGGCUACUAGAUCUGCUGGCGGAACCCAAGGCUUUAUCUGCAGUUGUUGCAGCCCUGUCAAGACACUGUAUCUUGGCAAUGCAACGCUUCCAUGCGACCAAAAUGAGGUAUUGAAAGAGUUUGAGGCUUCUUGUAUGGCGGAGGGAAUUUGUGGCGCAGCUGAUGAUAAGGCGGAAGCUGCUGGUUUAUUCUAUGGACGGUAAGGGGUACAUUAUGAGCGGCUGUCAUAACAUUAGAUGUGGAAGUUAGAAUGCUGUGGGCUGAAUUAGUGACAUUGCUAACAGUAACAGCUGAGGUGAUUCCAUAAAAAUAAUUACUAAAAAUUAAUUGCAAGGCAAUUAGAAAAGAAGUGCUACUUCGAGAAUAAUCUAAAAACAAUAAUAAUGAUGACUAGCAAUGAUGUCGAUUAUUAACUAAAAAACGAAUCAAAUUCAAUGUAAUGC